ACUCCUACGGGAGGGCAGCAGUGAGGAAUAUUUGGGCAAUGCCCCGCAAGGGGUGACCCAGCGACGCCGCGUGGAGGAAGAAGGUCGUAAGAUUGUAAACUCCUGUCGGCGGGGACGAAAGGUAUUCGGAGUGGAAAGCCGAAUAUUUGACUGUACCCGCAGAGGAACCCCCGGCUAACUACGUGCCAGCAGCCGCGGUAAUACGUAGGGGGGCAGCGUUGUCCGGAUUCACUGGGUGUAAAGGGCGCGUAGGCGGCUAUAUAAGUCAGCGGGUGAAAUUCUACGGCUUAACCGUAGCGCUGCCGUUGAUACUGGUAUAGCUUGAGCGCAGAAGGGAGAAGCGGAAUUCCAGGUGUAGCGGUGAAAUGCGUAGAUAUCUGGGAAGAACACCGGAGGCGAAAGCGGCUUCUUGGUCUGCAGCUGACGCUGAGCGCGAAAGCGUGGGGAGCAAACAGGAUUAGAUACCCCUGGUAGUCCACGCUGUAACGAUGAUACUAGACGUCGGGUCGAGACUCGGUGUCGGAGCAACGCGUUAAGUAUCACCUGGGGGAGUACGAUCGCAAGUUGAAACUCAAGAAUUGACGGGG
rnacentral:rRNA from 1 species